rnacentral:tRNA from 1 species
GCUGAUGUAGCUCAGUCGGUAGAGCAACUGAUUCGUAAUCAGUAGGUCGGAGGUUCGAAUCCUCUCAUCAGCACCA